GGGUAGAGUAAUGCGUGACCAACCUGCCCCAUGCUCCAGAAUAGCUCUUGGAAACGGGUGGUAAUGCUGGAUGCUCCAACUUGACGCAUGUCUUGUUGGGAAAGUGUUUAGUGGCAUGGGAUGGGGUCGCGUCCUAUCAGCUUGUAGGCGGGUAAUGGCCCACCUAGGCUUCGACGGGUAGCCGGCCUGAGAGGGCGGACGGCCACAUUGGGACUGAGAUACGGCCCAGACUCCUACGGGAGGCAGCAGAA
rnacentral:rRNA from 1 species